rnacentral:rRNA from 2 species
GGACUACACGGGUAUCUAAUCCCGUUCGCUCCCCUGGCUUUCGCGCCUCAGCGUCAGUAGAGAUCCAGUGCGUCGCUUUCGCCACCGGCGUUCCUUCUGAUAUCUACGCAUUUCACCGCUCCACCAGAAGUUCCACGCACCCCUACCUCCCUCUAGCCCGCCAGUAUCCAAGGCACUUUUCCGGUUGAGCCGAAAGAUUUCACCCCGGACUUGGCAAGCCGCCUACGCGCCCUUUAAGCCCAGUGAAUCCGAACAACGUUCGCACGGUUCGUCUUACCGCGGCUGCUGGCAC